rnacentral:rRNA from 1 species
UACGUAGGGUGCAAGCGUUAUCCGGAAUUAUUGGGCGUAAAGAGCUCGUAGGCGGUCUGUCGCGUCUGCUGUGAAAUCUGGGGGCUCAACCCCCAGCCUGCAGUGGGUACGGGCAGACUAGAGUGCGGUAGGGGAGAUUGGAACUCCUGGUGUAGCGGUGGAAUGCGCAGAUAUCAGGAGGAACACCGAUGGCGAAGGCAGAUCUCUGGGCCGUAACUGACGCUGAGGAGCGAAAGCAUGGGGAGCGAACAGG